AUAGACCAUUGGUCGCAGAUGAGCCAAUGGCCUGUGUGAGUAUAAAUAGUCUACUUUAAACUGCGAAUGGCUCAUUAUAUCAGUUAUAGUUUAUUUGAUGAAAUGUACUACUUGGAUAACCGUAGUAAUUCUAGAGCUAAUACAUGAUCGUCUCCUCGACUUUGAAGAGGUGUAUUUAUUAUAAUGAAAACCAAUAGACUUUGUCUGUUUGUGAGUAAUAAUAACUUGUCAUAUCCCAUGCUUUUGUAGCGAUGUGUCUUUUAAGUUUCUGCCCUAUCAGCUUUCUAUGGUAGUGUAUUGGACUACCAUGGCAGUAACGGGUAACGAAGAAUUUGGGUUCUAUUUCUGAGAGGGAGCCUGAGAGAUGGCUACCACACCCAAGGAAGGCAGCACGUGCGUAAAUUACCCAAUCCUGACACAGGGAGGUAGUGACAAUAAAUCACAAUGCGGGACUUCUGUUUCGCAAUUGGAUUGAGAACAACACACAACACUUAUCGAUAAACAAUUGGAGGGCAAGUCUGGUGCCAGCAGCCGCGGUAAUUCCAGCUCCAAUAGCGUAUAUUAACGUUGUUGCAAUUAAUCUUACUGAAAAACUCGAGA
rnacentral:rRNA from 1 species